UAACCCUUAGGGAAUGAAUGUCUCCCUUAGUAUUAUUACUUAAACUGCUUUUUAAGCUGAUGACUUCUGCAUUUUG
rnacentral:ncRNA from 2 species